GCCGACGUCCUAGUUGGUGCUGAACUCUUCCUGCACUCUGUGGGUUGAUAAGUCUCGGACUGAUUCUUGAAUGUUUAUUUUGCCACUAAAUUAUAGUUUGUGUCUUUAACAAGUAUACAUACACAGACCAACAGCAUGCGAGACUCAUGCGUAGUAACCGAAAAAGCUAAUACAUGUGUUUUUACAGUUACAGCAUAGGCUAUAGCCUGUAAACAUAGGCUAAGAUGUUUGAGAAAAUAACUUAACAAUUAGCUGUUGUAUGCCUUGUUGAAUUUCUAUAUGGAAGCCAGUAGUUUAGAUAGGAAUUCUUAUACGACGAUAAUGAAUGGCCACUUCAUAACCGUUGGGAACAUCGCUCUAUGUCUCGUCGCCAUGCUCAGCGCUCAUAAACUCUUCAAGGUUCACAGAGCUCCAGCUGUUGGGUUUUUCCUCGUGGCCUGUUCGUCUGGACUGUCUGCACUUCCUUGCAGCCCACUGUUGGUGUCUGUGCAGAAAGACCUUCAGUGGGUUGCCGAGAUACUGGGCCCAGCCACGGUGUCCUUUGGCUUCCUCUGGCUAAGUGAUGACCACUCUACAGCAUAUGUGCUUCUGACUGGAUCAGCGCUACUCUCCACACUCACUGACUGGCUGUCUCAGGAUGGGUUGGCUGUGAUGUCCCGCUGCUUGGCCCUGUCAUCCCUCUCCUGCUCGCUCACGGUGUGUCUCUUUGCGGGGAACACGUUAGGGGUAUUAGGGAGUGUGGCCUUAAGCUUGCCCGCCCUUGUGGCACUCAAUAGUACCAGUCCCCUCGUAUCCCCUGAGGUUGCUGGGGGCCUGCUGAAGUCUGUUUUGAUUGGCACUAUGACUCUAGGCUGCUGGUCCAUCAGGCAGGCACUGGACAUAUACCUUCAGGACCUGAAGGUCUGGGACAGAAAUAAUAUACUAACUUGAUUCACUUAUUUGAAGUGUGCAGACAAAUUACCCUGGUAAAGCAGUUAUGGUUCAUUGCUUGUUAUAAGUGUAUUUGUAUUUAUAGUAGGAACGUAAAGAACUAGCUUGACUAAUCAGAUGUUAACUGUUAUUUCAGUGUUUUACCCAGUCACUUGGAGUUCCUAGCAUAUGUACUGUAUCACCUCAAUAUAUAGGCUAACAUCUAUUUAGAAGGAGACUUAAUAAAGCAGGUGGUUUAUAAAGUUUUCAAAACAACCAUAUAUACAAAAUGAGGAAAUGGCACAGUAUUUUGUCUCUGAAUUUGCAAAUGAAAAGUGUGAAAUGUAAAAACACUUUGAAUUCUCUUAGGGGUUCUGGAGGUGUUGAGGUCAUGUGUGUUUCUGGUAGCCUACUUGUGGUUAUGUAUUGUCAUAACCUAAUAAUACACAUUCAUAGAGUUAUUUAGUGCUUUAGUGUUCUUUAGAGCUACCCCUAAUUGUUCCUACAAUUGUAACCUGUGGUAUGUUAGUGCAGCAGAUGAAGGCUGUAAUAUUUUUUAAUAAAAAUGGUGACUAGUA